rnacentral:rRNA from 1 species
GACGUAGGGCGCAAGCGUUGUCCGGAUUUAUUGGGCGUAAAGAGCUCGUAGGCGGCUCGUUGCGUCGGCUGUGAAAACCCGCAGCUCAACUGUGGGCUUGCAGCCGAUACGGGCGGGCUGGAGUUCGGUAGGGGAGACUGGAAUUCCUGGUGUAGCGGUGAAAUGCGCAGAUAUCAGGAGGAACACCGGUGGCGAAGGCAGCUCGCUGGGACGUUACUGACGCUGAGACGCGAAAGCGUGGGGAGCAAACAGG